GCAGCAGGCCGCUUUGUCGCUCUGAUCACCUCAGGGUUAUCGGGGAGGAAAGUCCGGACACCACAGGGCAGCAUAGUGGGUAACACCCAUCGUCCCGCCCCGGCGGGACAGGACCAGUGCAACAGAAAGGAUGUACAGGUAAUGCUGUAGUGAAAUCAGGUAAACUCUAUGCGGUGCAAUGCCAUGUAUACCGGUUUUGUCGGGCGGCCCGUCCGCACGCCGGAGGGUAGGCAGCUAAAGAUUUGUGGCAACACAAAUCUCAGAUAAAUGACAAAGAUUCUGGUCACUUACCAGAAUACAGAAUCCGGCUUACAGGCCUGCUUUUUUA
rnacentral:RNase_P_RNA from 1 species